GCCCAGGUGGCUCAUUCGGUUAAGCGUCUGACUUCAGCUCAGGUCAUGAUCUCACAGUUUGUGAGUUCGAGCCCCAUUUCGGGUU
rnacentral:tRNA from 1 species